UGAGGAAUAUUGGUCAAUGGACGCAAGUCUGAACCAGCCAUGCCGCGUGAAGGAUGAAGGCCUUCUGGGUUGUAAACUUCUUUUAUCAGGGAAGAAAAUUACGGUUUCUACUGUAACCGACGGUACCUGAGGAAUAAGCACCGGCUAACUCCGUGCCAGCAGCCGCGGUAAUACGGAGGGUGCAAGCGUUAUCCGGAUUCACUGGGUUUAAAGGGUGUGUAGGCGGAUAUUUAAGUCAGUGGUGAAAUCUCCGGGCUCAACCCGGAAACUGCCAUUGAUACUAUUUAUCUUGAAUACUGUUGAGGUAGGCGGAAUAUAUCAUGUAGCGGUGAAAUGCUUAGAUAUGAUAUAGAACACCGAUUGCGAAGGCAGCUUACUAAGCAGUUAUUGACGCUGAGGC
rnacentral:rRNA from 1 species